rnacentral:lncRNA from 1 species
GAAUCUCUUGACAAAUCUCUUAGAAAAUGAGUCCCUUCAGAUAAUGUCACUGAUUUCCAAUGCCCUUAUUAGGAAUAAUUACCUAUGGAGCUAAUCACAGUGGUGACAUUUUUCUUGAAUAGAAAGGAGAACGAAGACAUUUUAUCGCUGUAACAUUCAGCCACUCAGAAUCUUCUCCCAGCUGAUUAUGGGGUAUUAUUGCUGUUGAUGAGAUGAAGUGGCCAAGAUAAAUACGUUAAAAAACUCCUGAAAUUGGCUACUGGGAAAAUAGCUUAUCCGACAGAGAGAGGAUAUGCAGUCGCUCAAACCAAUAAUGGCAGGAUGCUUUCAGAGUCGCCACGAUCUCUCUCUGCCCUUGUCUUGUGUGGCACAUGACAAACAGUAGUGAAAAUUAGCCAUUAUUGGCAUUUGUCAACCCUCUGGUUCUGUGGCAGGAAAACGGAAACAGCAGCAAUCAUGCUCAAUUUAAGUCUCUCAUGAUGUCAGGCUUUUCGCAGACUCACACACACAUCAGAAGAGACUCGAAAAGGUUUACAGAUGUGCAGUCGGCUAUGACAGUGAUGCUGCCAACGUGGCUCACGGAUCAACUCAUGAUUAAGAUAUCAAAAGCGAUCCCUGUAACUUGCUGACAGCUGGUUCAAUUGUUUGCACCUGUUUCCCCAGCAUUACACAUGUGUCUGGAAUGGAUUAUUCUGGCUUGCGGUAGACACAUUUCACCUUUCCUCACUGUGACGUCUUCCAGCAGCAUCACUGCCAAAGACCAGGGCUUUCUAGAAGGGCCUGUGGAAACAAGAAGCUGGUGUGCUUUCAGAAGUGAACCUGAGAUGCUGGAGUGGACAAGGUUAUAUCAGUCAAGAUUGGUUCUUGAGAACGGUUAAGGGUGAUAUUCGAAUAGUGCUUGCUUCCUCCAUGAAUCAGGGAGAGCUCUGAGAUCUGAUGUCUCACCGGGAUGCUCUGCCCCCUUAAGAGAAUAGCAUCACCAUUCAUCCAGCCAUCUUUUUUUUUUUCCUUUUGCAUUUUGAGCUGCACCUGCAGCACAUGGAAGUUCCCAGGCAAGGGGUCGAAUUGGAGCUACAGCUGCCAGCCUAGGCCACAGCCAUAGCAGUGCCAGAUCUGAGUCUCAUCUGUGACCUAACCACAGCUCAUGGCAACACCAGAUCCUUAACCCACUGGAGACCAGGGAUUACUCAACCUGCAUCUUCAUGGAUACUAGUUGGGUUUGUUACUGCUGAGCCACGAUGGGAAUUCCCAUCCAGCCAUCUUGAGUGAGGAGUAUAAGGAAGUGGGGCCCUGGCCCAUGCUCCAUUCCUUGAACUUUUCUGUAGCUCUGGAUACCUCUCUCACCCUCAGAGGCAAAUUCACCGGGAAGCUGACCAAGCUGAAGCUUCACAUUCUUGCCAUUGCUUGAGCCCUUUCCCAGGUUCUGAGAGCUGCCCUCGUGAGGGGUUCACAUGGUUAUAUAUUUUUGUAAAAUGUGCAAAAGUAAGACAUUUUAACCACAGUGGGUUAAGACCGCUGUUUCUUCCCACUUUGACUUCUCCUCUGACAUCCUUCCCAUCAUGUGAUGUGGUGUUGGAGAGGUUGUGGGCACUGUGAGUGUCUGGCUAGGGGGAAGCUGAGUUGGGGACCUGUUUAGUUUGGUUUAGUGGGAUAUUUUUUUUGCGGCUUUGCAGUCACUUCCGUGUAUGUUUCAGUUACUGCUGGUUUCCAGGAAUACUCCUACUGUUCAUAAUUUAGGCCUAAUUUUGAAUUCAUAGUCGAUAUGCUUUUUCUUAAGGAGGAUCUCCUAAAUUGUAAAGGUGUCCAGCCCCACAACACCUGUUAUCUCCUACUUGCUCCUUGAGUAUGGUCACCGAAUCCUGUCAAUUCCAUCUAGUACCCUGGUAAACUGGCUCUUUUUUUUUUUUUCCUUUUGUCCUUUUAGGGUCACAGCUGCGGCAUAUGGAGGUUGCCAGGCUAGGGGUCUAAUUGGAGCUGUAGCUGACGGCCUACACCACAGCCACAGCGACGCCAGAUCUGAGCCGUGUCUGCGACCUACACCACAAGCUUAUGGCACCACUGGAUCCUUAACCUACUGACCGAGGCGAGGGAUUAAACUGGCAACCUCAUGGUUCCUAGUCGGAUUCGUUUCCACUGUGCCAUGAUGGAAACUCCCUAAACUGGCUCUUGAAAAACAGAAAUCUCUUGUUUACAGUGUUUGCUAAUUUCUGUGGUGGAUUUCCACUGCAAGAUUCCAAGCUACUAAUGAUUUAACACCAUCUCAGAACAUUUCUGAGUAUAUAAUAAUCAGUCCUUGAAACUGGUAGAAGAUGGCUCCGGUGUGGUGCAACUUCUCCCUCAAGAGUAGGUCUAUGGACCACCUCUUUUCUUGUCUUCAUUUCUGAUUACCUUAGGGUUGAAUUGGAGCUGUAGCCACUGGCCUACGCCACAGCCACAGCAAUGCCAGAUCUGAUCUGUGUUUGUGUCUGACACCACAGCUCACAGCAACACUCAGUUUUCUUCUUUUUGGUAUAGUGGUAGAUGGCUGCUCCACUGAUUUGUGAGGAUGAAGGAGAAUAACACCUUUGAAAAUGCCCUGAAAAAGUUGAGAAUGGCUGCUGGAAGGCAGCAUGACCAGAUCACCAGACUAAGCGUCAGGAGACCUGGGAUGCCUAGGUUUGAUAACUAAUCUUGCCAUUAAGUGUGUGGAUUUAGGAAAAUCAUGUGAAUUUUCAGAAUUUCACUUUCAUUCCUAUGUAUGACUAUCUCAUAUGUUUAUAUAGGACUUGGUCUGAAAGUCCUGACACUUUAUAUAAGGUCCUGAGCUGGGAUUAUUUGACAGGAAGCUGGAUGGGAUACAGAAUAAGUGCCAGGGGUGAGAAGUAGGAGCAGCUGGGAGUGCUACAAAAUAGAAAGGAGAGCUCACAGAGAGAGAAGGGCACCAUUGCCCACCUCUUGCUGGGAUAAGAACCUCUUCAGUGUUGGACAUCCAAACCAGGAAUGGAGGGCCUUAGGGUGGCAGGCAUUUUUCCUGCCUUAUGGGGGCCUUUUCCUGUCCCUACCCUCAUACUUACCAUCCCUGUGUCAGCCUGUUCCUAUCUUGGCUGCCUGUAUUGAUGUCUAUACCACCUGGCUUAGGUCAUCAGCCAGAGGCCAUUGGGUCUGUGUCACAUAGGUAACCCUCUCCACUUUUUUUUUUUCUUUUUAAGUCCACACCUGAAACAUAUGGAAGUUCCCAGAUUAAGGGUUGAAUCGGAACUGUAGCUGCUGGCCUACACCAUAGUCACAGCAAGCCAGAUCCUUAACCUACUGAGCAAGGCCAGGGAUUGAACCUGCAUCCUCAUGGAUACUAGACAGGUUUGUUUGUGCUGAGCCAUGAUGGGAGAUACCCCUCUCAACUUUUUUUUUUUUUUUUUUUUUUUUUAAGGAGAAUGUUCUGGAACUGGUCUGCUUAAGACAUAUCCUUCACUUAUGUCACUAAGAUUGAACUGAGUCCCAGAGCCCGUUGAGCUUGUAGCUGUAGACUUUCUGACCAUUGAUACAUGUUUGUGGCCUGAUCGGCCAUUUCUGUUUAGGGCUAUCUGAUUGGGUCUUUUGUGCCCAGUUUCCCAAUUUUCCCCAUCUUCCCAGGGCCCUGGUAUCUAGUCUUCCUUCCAUCUUUCUGGAAUGACUUAAGGUGUGGCUUUUCAUCUAAUUCCUGUAUUUUCUUUUUCUGUCAGGGCUUAAACCAAAAUCUGAUUUCUGGUUUUUAUUAGGAUACUUGGUAUUUGACUGUGGUCCUGCCAUAGCCUUAAGGGAAUAUUCUUAAGCACACUCUAUGGAGUGGAGAUAUUUGUUGCAAGAUUAAAAAAGACUUAGUAUGUGAUUUUUUUUUAGGGUUGUGAGAUAUGUGCAAAUGACAAAAAUAACUGGUCAAAAUGUCAUCACCUUUCAGGAAAGCAAUUUUGUGGCCACCUAUGCUUUAACUAAAGCCUACAAUCACUGCCACCUCCAAGCCUGGGUUCCCUUCCGUGGUCUCUGAGUCUACACUAUCUCUGCACUAUUAGCUAUGGCCAAGCUUGCCUGGACUUGGUCUUGAAUGACCAGAGCAUCCCUCCUGCCAAACGAUCAGGCUCCAAAGUUAGUCCUGGUUUGUCCUCUUCUCUCAGAUGGCCCAGAUGCUUACCUUCUGCAAAGAAGAAGUAGGGAGGGUCUUGUGGCAUCACAUCAUAUGCACAUUAACUGCAACAAGUCCAACUCUAGGAGUUCAGAGAGGUAGGGUGGAGAUAAUCUCGCAGAUUUUACCCACCCUUCCAGAAAUUGAUUAUGUACCUGGGUGUGAGCAGGAAAUGGAAGCUAGAAAGCUGUUUCCUUUCAUCAAUCUUAGUUUCCUUUCAUUUCUUCAUGGUGUGAAUGUAAUUAUGGUAUUAAAGAUAAAUUUCACUUACCAUCUGGUCCUUAAGUGCAAUCCAAUUUUAGUAGUAGCUGCUCAACCAAAGAAAUAGUCACCUGGGCCAAAGCUGCAGGAAAACUGAUUUUUUUUUUGGACCUUCCAGAGCAUUCUAUCCAAAAGAACAUUUUAUAGCAAUGGAGAGAAGUUCUAUAAUCUAGAGUAUCCAAUAUGGUAGCAAGUGGGCACAUGUGACUGUGGCGUACUUGAUGUGGCCAGUGUGACAGAGGAAUUUAAAUUAGUAAAAAUUAAUAACAGCAUAGCUUCAUUCUACCAUAUUGAAAAAUAAUAAUAGUUUUCAGUUUCUGUUUGGCAAAUUACCACAAACUCAGCAAUUUAUACACUCCCAUUUAUUAGCUCUCAGUUCUUUAGAUCAGAAGUCUGGGCUACCUUGACUGGGUUCUCUGCUUAGAGCCUCAGAAGUGUGAAAUCAAGGUGUUGGUUGGGCUGGGCUCUAAAUUCAAGACUUUGGGAGAAUCUGCUUCCAGGCUCACUUGAGGUUAUUGAUGCAAUUCAGUUUCUUGGAGUUUCCGUCAUGGCGAAGCAGAAAUGAAUCCGACUAGGAGCCAUGAGGUUGUGAGUUUGAUCCCUGGCCUCACUCAGUGGGUUAAGGAUCCGGUAUUGCCGUAGGUUGUGGUGAAGUCGCAGGUGAGGCUUGGACCCUGCAUUGCUGUGGCUGGGGUGUAGGCCAGCAGCUGUAGCUCCAAUUAGACCCCUAGCCUGGGAACCUCCAUAUGCCCCAGGUGUGGCCCUG